GGAAGGUCGGCAAUUGGCGUAGCAAACAGUCUUGAAAACUGCUAAGGGUAACACCGAUGUGGGUUCGACUCCCUCACCUUCCGC
rnacentral:tRNA from 2 species